CUAGCCACUUUAAACAAUGCUACCUUAUAUAAUGUUACUUACCCUACAUUAUUCAUCUCAUAUGCAUAUGUAUAUACUGUACUCUAGAUCAUCGACUGCAUUCUUAUGUCACUAGCCACUUUAACUAUGCCACUUUGUUUACUUUGUCUACAUACUCAUCUCAUAUGUAUAUACUGUACUCGAUACCAUCUACUGUAUGCUGCUCUGUACCAUCACUCAUUCAUAUAUCCUUAUGUACAUAUUCCUUAUCCCCUUACACUGUGUAUAAGACAGUAGUUUUGGAAUUGUUAGUUAGAUUACUUGUUGGUUAUCACUGCAUUGUCGGAACUAGAAGCACAAGCAUUUCGCUACACUCGCAUUAACAUCUGCUAACCAUGUGUAUGUGACAAAUAAAAUUUGAUUUGAUUUGAUUUGAGGGAAACUUAAAUCAGUUCUACCAAAUCUCUAUCAACAUGUUAAAUGUGCAACCAGAGGGAGAAAAAAAUCUAGAUCACCUGUACUCCACACAGAGACUCGUACAAAGUCUCCCUCGCCCUCCAUUUGGUCAAUCCGACCACAACUCUAUCCUCCUAAUUCCUGCUUACAAGCAAAAUUUAAAGCAGAAAGCACCAGUGACUCGGUCUAUAAAAAAGUGGUCAGAUGAAGCAGAUGCUAAACUACAGGACUGUUUUGCUAUCACAGACUGGAAUAUGUUCCGGAAUUCCCCUGAUGACAUUGAGGAGUACACCACAUCAGUCACUGGCUUUAUCAAUAAGUGCAUUGAGGACGUCGUCCCCACAGUGACUGUACGUACAUACCCCAACCAGAAGCCAUGGAUUACAGGCAACAUUCGCACUGAGUUAAAGGGUAGAGCUGCCACUUUCAAGGUGCAGGACUCUAACCCGGAAGCUUACAAGAAAUCCCGCUAUGCCCUGCAACGAACCAUCAAACAGGUAAAGUGUCAAUACAGGGCUAAGAUUGAAUCAUACUACACCGGCUCCGACGCUCGUCGGAUGUGGCAGGGCUUGCAAACUAUUACUAACCGGUGUCUCUAUAUAGCCUUUCUACUCUUAUUUUCAAAUGUCUUUUUACUGUUGUUUUAUUUCUUUACUUACCUACAUACCUACACACACACACACACACCUUUUCUUCGCACUAUUGGUUAGAGCCUGUAAGUAAGCAUUUCACUGUAAGGUCUAUACCUGUUGUAUUAGGCGCACGUGACAAAUAAACUUUGAUUUGAUUAAAUAAAUGCAGAAAAUUGGCAAUAUAUAAACAUUAUACCACAAUAACCAAGUAAUUUUGCAAAGACCAUUUGAUUUUAAGUUCAGACAUAUAAAGUUUGUAUAGGAAAAAUUAUAAUUAUAAUUGCAUACUUUCAGUUUUUUCACAAAUUUACUUCACUCGCAUAUAACUCGCAUAUAGGUAGAGGCCUGCACAGGCAUGAAUUUUAAGCCAGAGCCCAACCCAUGCCCACAACAUUCAGGCCAUACCCUACCAAUGCCCGAUUGCUUCUGCCAAAGCUCUGUCUGUCACUCGCUCUCUGCACACAAUUUGUUCUCUAUGCGCUCUGCUCAUGGCGGCUAUGAGUUUGUGAGUAUCCAUAUUAACAGCUCCGUUUGGGCUGCUCUGCUCAAUGAAGAGACAUGAGACAGCAGUUAGCUGUUUCUUUUCAUCACUCUAAACUCUGACAAAACUCAAGGAACAUUAUUUUCUGUGAAAUAAUCUCUGCCGACUUAUAUUUGACGAGGUUGAAGCACUUCUGUCACCAUGUUGUGAUCUUAGUCGGCAGGGUAGCCUAGUGGUUAGAGCGUUGGACUAGUAAUUUGAAAGAUUGCUCAGAAAACCAGGUGUUUUAAUUAGCAUAUACUGACCUUACUCUGAUUAAGACAAGCAGUGUAAAAUGUUUAAAUAACUAUUGCCAUACUCAGUUUACAUGAACACUAAUAAUUCGUUAUUAAACGUGACUAUGGCAGCAGUCUCUAAAGUGCAGGGCAGGGUACAGGCCGUGGCUCAGAUGGCGGAGGUUCUUGUUGAUCUUCUUGGCCAAGUGCUGUAGAUAUCUUGGAGGGCAUGCAAUGUGCCCCCAGUGAUGCGUUGGGCUGACCGUACCACCUUUUGGGGAGCCCUGCGGUUGCGUGUGGUGCAGUUGCUGUAUCAGGUGGUGAUACAGCCUGACCGACUGUUCUCGAUGGUACAUCUGUAGAAGUUGGCGAGGAUCUUAGCCAAAUUUCUUCAGCCUCCUGAGGUUGAAUUGGCGCCUUCCUCACCACACUGGCUGUGCGGAGGGACCAUUUCAGUUCCUCAGUGAUGUGCAUGCCAAGGAACUUGAAGCUUUUGACACUCUCUAGUGGCCCCAUCGAUGUGGAUGGGGACAUGCUCUCUCUGCUGUUUCCUGUAUUUCACAAUCAGCUCCUUUGUUUUGUUGACGUUAAGGGAGAGGUUAUUUGCCUGGCACCACUACUCCCUGUAGGCUUUGUCGUUGUUGUUGGUAAACAGGCCUUCCACUGUUGUAUCAUCUGCAAACCUGAUGAUUGAGUUGGAGACAUGCAUAGCCACGCAGUCAUGGGGGAACAGGGGAUCAGGAGGGGGCUCAUCACCCACCCCUGUGGUUCCCCUGUGAUGAGGAUCAGCAUGACAGAGGUGCUGUUAUUCAAAAUGUCAGUGAGUAACAAUAAUAUACCUUUGAAAGAAAUUAUUCUAAACUAACCCUCACAUUUUUCAUGUUUAUGCAAAAAUAUAUAUUAUACUGAACAAAAAUAUAAACAACAUGUAAAGUGUUGGUCCCAUAUUUCAUGAGCUGAAAUAAAAUAUCCCAGAAAUGUUCCACAGACACUAAAGCUUAUUUCUCACAAAUGUUUUGCAAAAAUUUGUUUACAUCCCUGUUAGUGAGCAUUUCUCCUUUGCCAAGAUAAUCCAUCCAUCUGACUGGUGUGUCAUAUCAAGAAGCUGAUUAAACAGCAUGAUUAUUACAGAGGUGCACCUUGUGCUGGGGACAAUAAAAGGCCACUCUAAAAUGUCCAGUUUUGUCACACAACACAAUGCCACAGAUGUCUCAAGUUUUAAGGGAGCUGCAGGAAUGUCCACCAGAGCUGUUGCCAGAGGAUUUACUGUUAAUUUAUAUGCCAUAAACCGCCUCCAACUUCGUUUUAGAGAAUUUGGAAGUACGUCCAACUGGCCUUACAACCGCAGACCAUGUGUAACCAAGCCAGCCCAGGACCUCCACAUCUGGCUUCUUCAUCUGCGGGAUCGUCUGAGACCAGCUACCCAGACAGCUGAUGAAACUGAGGAGUAUUUCUGUCCGUAAUAAAGCCCUUUUGUGGGGGAAAUCCAUAGAUUAGGGCCUAAUGGUUUUCUUAUAUGAACUAAAGUAAAAUGAUUGAAAUUGUUGCGUUUUUAUAUUUUUGUUCAGUAUAAUAUGUACAAAUGUCCUGUCGCUCAAAUUAAAACAAGUCAUAAAACAAAUGUUUUAAAUGUAGUUUCAGUAUGAAAGGCAUGGUUUGGAAAAGCCCUUUCAUAUAUCACCCUGUAGUUCUCAUCACAAGGCGAGACAAUUUAAUAUGUAAAUAGUAUACAUGUAAAACAUGCCAGUAUCUAACUACUUGACUAACUAACUAAACAUGUAACUACUGGACUAACUAACUAAACAUGUAACUACUGGACUAACUAACUAAACAUGUAACUACUGGACUAACUAACUAAAUAUGUAACUACUGGACUAACUAACUAAAUAUGUAAGUACUGGACCAACUAACUAAACAUGUAACUACUGGACUAACUAAGCAUGUAACUACUGGACUAACUAAACAUGUAACUACUGGACUAACUAACUAAAUAUGUAACCACUGACUUAACUAAACAUGUAACUACUGGACGAACUAACUAAAUAUGUAACUACUGGACUAACUAACUAAAUAUGUAACUACUGGACCAACUAACUAAACAUGUAACUACUGGACUAACUAAGCAUGUAACUACUGGACUAACUAAACAUGUAACUACUGGACUAACUAACUAAACAUGUAACUACUGGACUAAAUAACUAAAUAUGUAACUACUGGACUAACUAAACAUGUAACUACUGGACUAACUAACUAAACAUGUAACUACUGGACUAGAAUUUUAACUCUCACUGUAAGUACACCUGAUCAGUUUGUCUCCACUUAGGACUGGGUCCGCCACUUUGGCAUCUCUAGAUAGAAUAAAUAUAUAUUAUAAACCGGGUCGUUCGAGCCCUGAAUGCUGAUUGGCUGAAGGCUGUGUUAUAUCAGACCGUAUACCACAGGUAUGACAAAAAUGGCUUGACUACUGUUCUAAUUACAUUGGAAACCAGUUUAUAAUAUCAAUAAGGCAUCUUGGGGGUUUGUAGUAUAUGGCCAAUACACCACGGCUAAAUGUUGUAUCCAAGCGCUCCAUGUUGCACGGUGCAUAAGAACAGCCCUUAGACAUGGUAUACUGGCCAUAUACCACACACCUCCGGGCCUUAUCGCUUAAAUAAGAGGUACUAAAUAAGGUUUCAUCUUAUUGUAAGAAAAUAAAUUAUACUUACCAGUGAUAAGGUUGCUUGGGGCAAAAGCAAAGAGAGACAGAAAACUGGAGGGUCGCCGGUUCAAAUCCCAAGUCUCUCAUGAAAAGAUGAUGGGAAGUGAGCAUCCUAAUUACAUCUCCUACCAUUGUGCCCUUGAAAAAAAAGCAGCAUUCCCCAAGAGAGGAUGACUUUCACUUUAGCAGUGAUAAAUUCAUGAACUUCUUUGAGGAAAAGAUUAUGAUUAUUAGAAAGCAAAUUAUGGACUCCUCUUUAAAUCUGCGUAUUCCUCCAAACCUCAGUUGUCCUGAGUCUGCACAACUCUGCCAGGACCUAGGAUCAAGAGAGACGCUCAAGUGUUUUACUACUAUAUCUCUUGACACAAUGAUGAAAAUAAUCAUGGCCUCUAAACCUUCAAGCUGCAUACUGGACCCUAUUCCAACUAAACUACUGAAAGAGCUGCUUCCUGUGCUUGGCCCUCCUAUGUUGAACAUAAUAAACGGCUCUCUAUCCACCGGAUGUGUACCAAACUCACUAAAAGUGGCAGUAAUAAAGCCUCUCUUGAAAAAGCCAAACAUUGACCCAGAAAAUAUAAAAAACUAUCGGCCUAUAUCGAAUCUUCCAUUCCUCUCAAAAAUUUUAGAGAAGGCUGUUGCGCAGCAACUCACUGCCUUCCUGAAGACAAACAAUGUAUAUGAAAUGCUUCAGUCUGGUUUUAGACCCCAUCAUAGCACUGAGACGGCACUUGUGAAGGUGCUAAAUGACAUUUUAAUGGCAUCGGACCGAGGCUCUGCAUCUGUCCUCGUGCUCCUAGACCUUAGUGCUGCUUUUGAUACCAUCGAUCACCACAUUCUUUUGGAGAGAUUGGAAACCCAAAUUGGUCUACACGGACAUGAUCUGGCCUGGUUUAGAUCUUAUCUGUUGGAAAGAUAUCAGUUUGUCUCUGUGAAUGGUUUGUCCUCUGACAAAUCAACUGUAAAUUUCGGUGUUCCUCAAGGUUCCGUUUUAGGACCACUAUUGUUUUCACUAUAUAUUUUACCUCUUGGGGAUGUUAUUCGAAAACAUAAUGUUAAGUUUCACUGCUAUGCGGAUGACACACAGCUGUACAUUUCAAUGAAACAUGGUGAAGCCCUAAAAUUGCCCUCGCUAGAAGCAUGUGUUUCAGACAUAAGGAAGUGGAUGGCUGCAAACUUUCUAUUAUUAAACUCGGACAAAACAGAGAUGCUUGUUCUAGGUCCCAAGAAACAAAGAGAUCUUCUGUUGAAUCUGACAAUUAAUCUUAAUGGUUGUACAGUCGUCUCAAAUAAAACUGUGAAGGAGCUCGGCGUUACUCUGGACCCUGAUCUCUCUUUUGAAGAACAUAUCAAGACCAUUUCGAGGACAGCUUUUUUCCAUCUACGUAACAUUGCAAAAAUCAGAAACUUUCUGUCCAAAAAUGAUGCAGAAAAAUUAAUCCAUGCUUUUGUCACUUCUAGGUUAGACUACUGCAAUGCUCUACUUUCCGGCUACCCGGAUAAAGCACUAAAUAAACUUCAGUUAGUGCUAAAUACGGCUGCUAGAAUCCUGACUAGAACCCAAAAAAUGUAUCAUAUUACUCCAGUGCUAGCCUCUCUACACUGGCUUCAUGUCAAAGCAAGGGCUGAUUUCAAGGUUUUACUGCUAACCUACAAAGCAUUACAUGGGCUUGCUCCUACCUAUCUCUCUGAUUUGGUCCUGCUGUACAUACCUACACGUACGCUACGGUCACAAGACGCAGGCCUCCUAAUUGUCCCUAGAAUUUCUAAGCAAACAGCUGGAGGCAGGGCUUUCUCUUAUAGAGCUCAAUUUUUAUGGAACGGUCUGCCUACCCAUGUCAGAGACGCAAACUCGGUCUCAACCUUUAAGUCUUUACUGAAGACUCAUCUCUUCAGUGGGUCAUAUGAUUGAGUGUAGUCUGGCCCAGGAGUGGGAAGGUGAACAGAAAGGCUCUGGAGCAACGAACCGCCCUUGCUGUCUCUGCCUGGCCGGUUCCUCUCUUUCCACUGGGAUUCUCUGCCUCUAACCCUAUUACAGGGGCUGAGUCACUGGCUUACUGGGGCUCUCUCAUGCCGUCCCUGGAAGGGGUGCGUCACCUGAGUGGGUUGAUUCACUGUUGUGGUCAUCCUGUCUGGGUUGGCGCCCCCCCUUGGGUUGUGCCGUGGCGGAGAUCUUUGUGGGCUAUACUCAGCCUUGUCUCAGGAUGGUAAGUUGGUGGUUGAAGAUAUCCCUCUAGUGGUGUGGGGGCUGUGCUUUGGCAAAGUGGGUGGGGUUAUACUUCCUGUUUGGCCCUGUCCGGGGGUGUCCUCGGAUGGGACCACAGUGUCUCCUGACCCCUCCUGUCUCAGCCUCCAGUAUUUAUGCUGCAGUAGUUUAUGUGUCGGGGGGCUAGGGUCAGUUUGUUAUAUCUGGAGUACUUCUCCUGUCCUAUUCGGUGUCCUGAGUGAAUCUAAGUGUGCGUUCUCUAAUUCUCUCCUUCUCUCUUUCUUUCUCUCUCUCGGAGGACCUGAGCCCUAGGACCAUGCCCCAGGACUACCUGACAUGAUGACUCCUUGCUGUCCCCAGUUCACCUGGCCAUGCUGCUGCUCCAGUUUCAACUGACCUGAGCCCUAGGACCAUGCCCCAGGACUACCUGACAUGAUGACUCCUUGCUGUCCCCAGUCCACCUGGCCAUGCUGCUGCUCCAGUUUCAACUUCCACCUGACUGUGCUACUGCUCCAGUUUCAACUGUUCUGCCUUAUUAUUAUUUGACCAUGCUGGUCAUUUAUGAACAUUUGAACAUCUUGGCCAUGUUCUGUUAUAAUCUCCACCCGGCACAGCCAGAAGAGGACUGGCCACCCCACAUAGCCUGGUUCCUCUCUAGGUUUCUUCCUACGUUUUGGCCUUUCUAGGGAGUUUUUCCUAGCCACCGUGCUUCUACACCUGCAUUGCUUGCUGUUUGGGGUUUUAGGCUGGGUUUCUGUACAGCACUUUGAGAUAUCAGCUGAUGUACGAAGGGCUAUAUAAAUAAAUUUGAUUUGAUUUUGAUUUGAGCAAGGCACUUAACCUCUGGAAUGAGGACAAAGUAUUCUUCCCCUUUUCUGUCAUGUUCUCACAGGAUCUCUGUGAUCUCAGCAGAUGUAACCCCUGAACUCUCCAUGUCAGUUUCCUCUCCCUGGUUCUUCCAGCACAGGGAGCAUAGCAGUACCACACAGGUAGACAGCCAACACCACCCCAAACAGCAUGAAGGACAACAGGUUACCGUCCAUGGUCCCACUUGUUGUGGCGCGGGAGGGAAAGAGCGGGAGGUGGGGACAGAAAGAGGCUCCUUUGACCUUCCAAAUGGACAGACAUUGUGCAGACCGUAGUGACCAAAAGGAGGAUGAUAGAAUAAGUCUGUGUGUGUGUGUUCAUGCAUGCAUGUAUCUGUGUUUACAUGGGAGACUUAAGUAUUCUGUAAAGAGGACAUAGUUGGUUACCUAGAAGCAGGUGAGUGUUUAAAUGAUGCCAUUAUCUUAGUGCAAACAGAAAGCACAUUAUUCUGUCAGUUUCCAACACUUUAACUACAUGACAUAGACUGACCAGGUGAAUCCAGGUGAAAGCUAUGAUCCCUUUUUGAUGGCAAAUCCACUUCAAUCAGUGUAAGGUGCGUGCAACUCAAUAUUAGGAAGGUGUUGCUAAUGUUUGAUAUACUCAGUGUAAAUACUAUCUGCUUAUCUGUUCAACCCAGAUUAAAUAUAGAAACACACUAUAGAAAACCUGUCACCCAUGCCACAUGGAAUAUUAGUGCAGCAAAGGUAGGCUACAGAUUAGUAGUUACUUCUAUGUGAGACUAUCAGUCUCUGUCUCCCUCUGUUGGCUAAAUGAAGCGGUGAAGGCAAACGAAAAGACAAAACAACCAAUUGCUGAACACCACAGCUCAGUCAGGUGUAAGAACACUGAGUAGCCAGUAGCAGCCUUCUUUGUUUGAAGCCAACCAUCCUAUUUCCUCCCUCAUAUACACAGGUAUGGAGCAUGUUACCCUACCAAGGAGAAGAGGUAACAUUGAGACAUCACUGCUAGAGGGAAGCCAACUGGAUCUCCCACCUAAAAACACUGACCCCUAGUGGUUUGAAUAUUGACUUUGAUCUCAGGCCCUUUCUAUGAACAUUUCAACCCAAUGAACAUGUUUUGCCCACAGUUUAUUAGCUGAUACUGCAUAUCAUGUUUCCCAUGUUGAUGAUAUUCAUUAUGCAUUAUGUUUGAACCACGAGAAGAUAUUAAAUCCAGGCUGUGUCCCAUAGGGCAGUGCACUGUUGGCCCAGGGUAAUCUGGGUUUGGCCUGGGUAGGUUGUCAUUGUAAAUAAUCAUUUGUUCUUAACUGACUUGCCUACUUAAAUGAAAAAUAUAUAAUUAAAUUAUGAAAAAGAUUCAAGUAAAUGAAAUGUAAACAAUAAUGAUUGAUAUUAACAUGAUGUAUUCUAUUUUUUUAUUUUAUUUUUUUAUUUCACCUUUAUUUAACCAGGUAGGCAAGUUGAGAACAAGUUCUCAUUUACAAUUGCGACCUGGCCAAGAUAAAGCAAAUCUAAUCAUAAAAUUAUAUUAACAUGAUGUAUUGUAUUAAAUCUAAUCAUGUUGACAUAAAAUUAUAUUAACGUGAUGUAUUGUAUUAAAUCUAAUCAUGUUGACGUAAGAUUAUAUUAACGUGAUGUAUUGUAUUAAAUCUAAUCAUGUUGACAUAAAAUUAUAUUAACGUGAUGUAUUGUAUUAAAUCUAAUCAUGUUGACAUUAUGUAAAUAACUGCCUCGUGUAUUCAACAUCUUGACACACGCAGUAAAAUAAGAGUUUAACAGUU